rnacentral:rRNA from 1 species
UACGAAGGGGGCUAGCGUUGUUCGGAAUCACUGGGCGUAAAGCGCACGUAGGCGGAUUCUUAAGUCAGGGGUGAAAUCCCGAGGCUCAACCUCGGAACUGCCUUUGAUACUGCAAAUCUCGAGUCCGGAAGAGGUGAGUGGAAUUCCUAGUGUAGAGGUGAAAUUCGUAGAUAUUAGGAAGAACACCAGUGGCGAAGGCGGCUCACUGGUCCGGUACUGACGCUGAGGUGCGAAAGCGUGGGGAGCAAACAGG